UGAAGUAUAUCAUUAAUUCCAUAAAUGUACGUUCUAAAUUUGUGUGUGUGUGUGUGUGUGUUAGGUACCUACCACCAUGUUGAUCACACAGAAAACCUCCCUUCCAAAUUCCAAUUCGAGCACAGACCGAACCGAAAUAUUUCACGUUACCGUUCGAUUGAAACACCCUGUAUAUUAUCGUGUAUACGACGAGUGACGGCGUAUAUUGUGCUGUUAAACAUAAUAUAAUAUUAUGACGUAAAACACCGUUACUCCGC